rnacentral:miRNA from 1 species
AGGUGGGAGGAUGACUUGAGCCUGGGAGGUGGAGGUUGCAGUGAGCUGAGAUCACGCCACUGUACUCAAGCCUGGGCGACAGAGCCAGACUCUGUCUC